rnacentral:rRNA from 1 species
GAUGGACAACUGGUUGAUAUUCCAGUACCACCAUAAUGCGUUUGACAAAUGGGAUGACGCAGGAGGAUAGGAUGUGCGCACUAUUGGAUGUGCGUCUAAGCACUUAGGGUGUUAAGUAGGCAAAUCCGCUUAACAUUAAGCCUGAGGUGUGAUGGGGAGCCUAUUUUGGCGAAGUAUCUGAUUCCACGCUGCCAAGAAAAGUCUCUAUGGAGCAAAAUGGUGCCCGUACCGCAAACCGACACAGGUAGAUGAGGAGAGAAUCCUAAGGUCGUCGGAAGAAUUAUUGCUAAGGAACUCGGCAAAUUGACCCCGUAACUUAGGGAGAAGGGGUGCCUACGAGAGUAGGCCGCAGUGAAUAGGCUCAAGCAACUGUUUAUCAAAAACACAGGUCUCUGCUAAAGCGCAAGCUGAUGUAUAGGGGCUGACGCCUGCCCGGUGCUGGAAGGUUAAGGGGAAUAGUUAGCGCAAGCGAAGCUAUGAACUUAAGCCCCAGUAAACGGCGGCCGUAACUAUAACGGUCCUAAGGUAGCGAAAUUCCUUGUCGGGUAAGUUCCGACCCGCACGAAUGGCGUAAUGAUUUGAGCACUGUCUCGGCAAUAAAUCCGGUGAAAUUGUAGUGCAAGUGAAGAUGCUUGCUACCCGCGGUUGGACGGAAAGACCCCGUAGAGCUUUACUGUAGCUUAGCAUUGAAUUUCGGUAUUGUCUGUACAGGAUAGGUGGGAGACUUAGAAGCGAGGGCGUCAGCUUUCGUGGAGUCGUCCUUGGGAUACCACCCUGACAGUACUGGAAUUCUAACUGGAGGCCAUGAAUCUGGUCACAGGACAUUGCUAGGUGGGCAGUUUGACUGGGGCGGUCGCCUCCUAAAAGGUAACGGAGGCGCCCAAAGGUUCCCUCAGCGCGG